GGGGCUCUCUGUAGGAUGGCUGUAGUCAUGGCCUUGAGGAAGGUCAGGGGCGUCUCUCAAGAAAACUUUGUGCGAGUCCAGGGAUGCUCGUGGUUUUGGAGGAGUAAGAGCUCCUCUGCAAAAGCCAGAGCCCCAGCAGGCCCGAAGGGAGGUGGUGGGCAGGCCAGGUGCCGUCACAGGUGACACAGAAGGGCACAAGGAGCUUUCAGAAGCAGAACGGUUUCGCCAGGCGUGGAUGCGGAGCGUCGGGCUGACUGGGGAUGUGACCGUUCCCCAGUGGGAGGUUGAGGCGCAUCUGGGCAGCGACAGAAGCUCACCCUAAACCUGCUUGGCUGUGAAAAGCAUCGCAUUUGCCAUUUUAUUGGUAAUACGGAGUCAAAGCUGUGUUUGGCAGGAUUUUAAGCCCUGAGAUGCAGAAACAGUGAUCCCCUGUGUGACCCCGGUGCACUCCCGGAGUACGGGAGCGUUUGCCAUCGCAGCUCCUGCAGAGUUAUCGACUCGGCCUCACCGAGGGCUCGGAAAACUGCUCUAGUUUCAAAGGAAAAAUUCCUCUGUCUCUAUAAAAGGAAACUGCACGAGGAUGUCUGGAAUCAAAGGAGCCUUUGAAACAAAACUUCUGAGGGGGUGUUUAUGUUUCAUAACGGAUUAAGUUAUCAGCCGCAUGCAGAGUGUGGGGCAGGUGACAAAUGGCCGUGGGAGAGUGGAGGAGGUGCUUCCUCUCGCCGGGGCAGAGCUGGCAGCGCUGAGGAACCUGCUUCUGCCAAAGGAGAGGCAGGAGGAAAGCGGGAACUGAGGAAACGGCUGAGGUGGCCGGAUACACCCGAUAGCUCGGUGGAGCCGCUCAGGCCUGCGGAGGAGACAAUCUGAAAAGCUUCCUGUUCAUAGAGGAUAUAUUGUCUGGUGGUGGCAAGAACUGGAGAGAUCCUCCCUGUGCUGGAGCCCGAGACAGACCCGGCCUUUGGGAUAAGCUGGUUCUCUGGAGGAGCGGCAGCAGCUCCGCAGCCUCUGGAAGGCCGUCCCUUCUAAAGGCGGAGGCCGGAGGUACCAAAACACUCCGCACAAGCGGCUGCUCACAGCGUUGCUGGAGGUGCAUUGGACGUCCCUCUGGCUUUCGGAGAGGUGAGGUUUACUCACAGAUACUCGCUUCUGCGCCGUUAUUAGCCCGCAGUGAGGUUCUCGCCCCCGAACGCAUCGCUCUCCUCUGGACCCUGAGUUUUGCGAUGGGGUCCUGCUUGCCUCUGGUGGCCCCCGGUCCUGUGCUGGAGAGACGGUGCAGAGGCAGGCGAUCUUCCUGCGCCCUCCUCAGCCGCUUGUGACUUAGCAGAGCUCCAUCGCCUUCCUGACGACUCCUUCCCCGAAGCGGAAGCCUCCAGCCAGUUGUUCCUCGCGUGGAGGCUGUUCCAGCCGCUCCCCUUUGGGAGAAGGGGCCCAGGAGUGCUUGCCCUGCUGAAGGAUUGGGCGAGCACGGAGCGAAACGGCGGUGCAGGGACGUUCCCUCCUGUUCUCCCUCUGCCUCGGCUGACUCCUGACAUCCGCGUUGGUUUUUUGACCUCCUCCCGUGCCCCUGACCCGUCUCCUGGAUGUGCCCCGGCGGCUGCUCACCCGUUCCGAUGGGGCAGGGAGCAGUCGUACGUUUCCUCAGCGUUUCCGACAACGCGAGAAACCGGAGAAGUGGUGUGCCGUGUGGCUUCCUGGCAAUGCGGGUGCCACCCUCUUCCCUCCUGGGAGAUCUCCCUGCCAAGAAAGCGCUGGUGGAUGUCUCUGGAGACCGGUUUCGCGUCAGCCGGCUGCCCCCGGGGCCUCUCCCCGGUGAGCCAGGGGCGAGUGCCAUCCCCGCAGAGCAGAGGAAUUCAGCAGGGCUGGCAUUUCAAAACAAACCUCUGCAGGGCUGGCCUUGAGCCGUUGUCCGGCAUUCCCUUGGCCGUGGCGGCCAGGGGCCAGGGCCGCCGUCGGAGCAGGCUGGAGGGGAAGGAAUGUGUUUUGAAGAUUUCAGUUACGAAGGGGCUGGGUUGUGCUGCAACUCGUGAAAAGCAAAUACGAAGGGACUGGACGUGUCUGGAAAGCUUCAAACAUGUUUCCACAGCUCUGCUGUGUUUCUUGUGAGACCUUUUGUCGCGGUUUUUCGCAGCGGAAGACCUCGUCCUUGUUUAGGAGAAAAAACUUGUUUGCUGUCACCCCCCUUCGAAAUUAAAGCAGCCUCCUGGGAACCGCCGAGCAGAAAUGGGGUUAUUUGCCCUGUCUCGCCCAACGUCUCUUGGUCCCAAACCAUCCCUUUAUCCCGAUCCUCUUUCGACCCGAGGGGCUGCGCUUCGCUCCUGCUCGCUGUGAAACAGGGUUGAUUUUCCUUUGCCUUCGCCGCCUCGCCGUGUGCACCAGGCGCUUUUAAAGCGCGGAGGCGUGAGGCUGAGCGUUACCGUCUCCUUCAACGCCGCCCGUUGGAGCCCAUCCCUCGGCGGUUGCUGCGGGUCUCAGCUCUCCCCCUUCGCAGGAGGGUUUGAAUCGCUCCAGCUGGUGCUUUCACACCAGAUGCAGGGUUUGUGUUUUUUUUUUUCCUGCCUGUUCCGUAACUGCUGUCAAAAACCUUGUAAUCAAAAGAAUAACAAAACACACAAUGGCCCUGUAAACUCCCUCAUCUCUUCCGCCAGCUGUUUCUUUCUUUGAAGAGAAAAAUCUUCCAUUACUCAGGCCUUUUAUGAGUUUAUGCUUCUUUUUGGGGCCCGGAUUCUGUGUUUCGCUGAAGGGAUGUUUCCUUUUAAGGCGCAGAGGGCUGCUUCGGGGAAGGGCAGCUACUAAAUCACCCGAGCGCUGCUGGAGAAAACAGGAUAAGUGGUUUUAAAAGCCCAGCGUUCCCCUUCCCGCAAGUCCAGCUUUCCCCGUGUCGGCUGCCCCAGGCUGUAGCGUCUCGGGUGCACCCGCGGCUCCUCUGUUGCACGGCACAGACCCUCGUCCCCGCGGCGGGAUCGACCCCGCUCAACCCUUGGGCGCGGACGCUGCUAAACCUGCCCCUUUCUCCCUGCAGAUCCCAGGGGACGCCGCCUUCGCCUUGGGCAGAGCCUGCCCUUAGCUUUGCCCACGCCGUUUGGGUAAAGGAACGCUUACGGCUGGGGAGGCUCCGUCAGGAAUUCCAGAGGGAAGUUUCUUUGUGUGGACUGUGGCCAGCAGGUGGAGGGAGGUCAUCCUCCGCCUCUGCUCUGCCCUGGGGAGGCCGCGUCUGGGGGGGGGUCCAGUUCUGGGCUCCCCGGUUCAAGAGGGACAGGGAACUGCUGGAGAGGGGACAGCAAAGGGCCACCGAGAUGCUGAGGGGCUGGAACACCUCUGAUGGAGAAAGGCUGAGGGAUUUGGGGCUCUUCAGGCUGGAAAAAAGACGGCUGAGGGGGACCUUAUCAACGCUGAUAAAUACUGAAAGGGGGGGUGUCAGGAGGAUGGGGCCAGGCUCUUCUCAGUGGUGCCCGGGGCCAGGACAAGGGGUAACGGGCACAAACUUGCCCAUGGGAAGUUCCACCUCAACACGAGGAGGAACUUCUCUACCCUGAGGGUGGCAGAGCCCUGGCACAGGCUGCCCAGAGAGGUGGGGGAGUCUCCGUCUCUGGAGACAUCCCAACCCCGCCUGGACGCGUCCCUGUGCCACCUGCUGUGGGUGACCCUGCUGUGGCCGGGGGUGGGACGGGAUGGGCUCCAGAGGGCCCUUCUGACCCCGGCCAGUCUGGGAUUCUGUGACGUGAGAUGGAGAUUGAACCUUCCUAACCCUCUGCCCCUGUGGCACCGAGGGUUGUGGUCACUGUGUCUUUUUAGGGUCUUCUCUGAGUGUGACUGAGCAACUACCUACCUGAAAGGAGGGGGCAGCCGGGGGGGUGGUCUCUUCUCCCAAGGAACAGGCCAUGGGACAAGGGGAAACGGCCUCGAGUUGUGCCAGGGGAGGUUUAGGAUGGAAACUGGGAAACAUUUCUUCCUGGAAAGGGCUGUCAAGCGUUGGAAGAGGCUGCCCAGGGCGGUGGGGGAGUUGCCAUCCCUGGGGGCAUUUAAAAGCCGGGCCGACGCGGUGCCGAGGGACGUGGGGUAGUGGUGGGUUUUGUCAGCGUUGGGGUGAUGGUUGGACUCGAUGAUCUGAAAGGUCCCCUCCAGCCCGGGCGAUUCUGUGCUUCUGUGAUUUUGUGAUUCUAUGAGUAGUCAAGAGCUACUUCCUUCAAACUGUCCAAGUCUGGGGUGUUUUUUCUUCCGGACUUUGCAUCCUCCGGAGUCAGCCCUUCUUCCUGACGAGGUGUCCAUGUGCAUCAGCUCUCGGCCGACGCACCGGGAUCUCGCUGCUUUGCCGGCCCCGCGGGCGCCGUGACGAGCUGCGGCGUCUCCACCGCGCUCCCGAGCAGGAGGAGGUGACGCAUCCGUGGAUGCGGUGCUCGGCGGCGUCCCUCCGAGGUGGGCCCUUUAUUCCCGUAUUGGUGUUCAUGGAAUGACAGCUCGUCUGCUGGGGAAAGCUAAUUACACAAAGGUUAAUUGAGAUCCCGUCAGUGUGGGUGGCAGGGAAAUGUGGUCUUUGGCUAAAAAUAGCCCACAAAGAGUUUUGAAACAACUGAGCAGUUUUUCAUUCAGUUGAUCUAUUUUUGUUGCUGGCUGCGACACCGUCCUCCUCUCUUUCUGCUCUCGUACCCGGCGUGAAGCGGCGCAGAGCUCAGGUCCCCGUGUGAGACGUGCCUUUCCCCAUCCCGAGAAGAGGGACUGGGCACCGCAGGCUCUGCCACCCCCUGUGUCUUCCUUACAGCCGCAGCCAGUCCCACCGAGCGUUGUCCCCUGUCACGGCGACGGAGGUGCUGCCUCCCGGCUGUGGGAGCACG